ACGAGGAAGGCCGAGUGGUUAAGGCGUUGGACUCAAGUGCCAAUGUACAAAUGUACGCUUGGGUUCCAACCCAAGUCCUGGUA
rnacentral:tRNA from 1 species